AUUCGCGGCCUAUCAGCUUGUUGGUGGGGUAAUGGCCUACCAAGGCGGCGACGGGUAACCGGCCUGAGAGGGCGACCGGUCACACUGGGACUGAGACACGGCCCAGACUCCUACGGGAGGCAGCAGUGGGGAAUAUUGCACAAUGGGCGCAAGCCUGAUGCAGCGACGCCGCGUGAGGGAUGACGGCCUUCGGGUUGUAAACCUCUUUCAGCAGGGACGAAGCGAGAGUGACGGUACCUGCAGAAGAAGCGCCGGCCAACUACGUGCCAGCAGCCGCGGUAAUACGUAGGGCGCAAGCGUUGUCCGGAAUUAUUGGGCGUAAAGAGCUCGUAGGCGGUUUAUCACGUCGGCUGUGAAAUCCCGAGGCUUAACCUCGGGCUUGCAGUCGAUACGGGUUGACUAGAGUGAAGCAGGGGAGACUGGAAUUCCUGGUGUAGCGGUGAAAUGCGCAGAUAUCAGGAGGAACACCGGUGGCGAAGGCGGGUCUCUGGGCUUUAACUGACGCUGAGGAGCGAAAGCGUGGGUAGCGAACAGGAUUAGAUACCCUGGUAGUCCACGCCGUAAACGGUGGGCGCUAGGUGUGGGGACCAUUCCACGGUUUCCGUGCCGCAGCUAACGCAUUAAGCGCCCCGCCUGGGGAGUACGGAAU
rnacentral:rRNA from 1 species